UGAAAUGAUGAUUCUGGUUUUAAUUAGUAUAGCCUGUUUUAGUGAUGAAAAAUUCUUUACAGGCUAUGCUAAUCUGGGCCAGAAU
rnacentral:pre_miRNA from 1 species